rnacentral:rRNA from 1 species
AUUGAACGCUGGCGGCAGGCCUAACACAUGCAAGUCGAGCGGAUGAAGGGAGCUUGCUCCUGGAUUCAGCGGCGGGCGGGUGAGUAAUGCCUAGGAAUCUGCCUGGUAGUGGGGGAUAACGUCCGGAAACGGGCGCUAAUACCGCAUACGUCCUGAGGGAGAAAGUGGGGGAUCUUCGGACCUCACGCUAUCAGAUGAGCCUAGGUCGGAUUAGCUAGUUGGUGGGGUAAAGGCCUACCAAGGCGACGAUCCGUAACUGGUCUGAGAGGAUGAUCAGUCACACUGGAACUGAGACACGGUCCAGACUCCUACGGGAGGCAGCAGUGGGGAAUAUUGGACAAUGGGCGAAAGCCUGAUCCAGCCAUGCCGCGUGUGUGAAGAAGGUCUUCGGAUUGUAAAGCACUUUAAGUUGGGAGGAAGGGCAGUAAGUUAAUACCUUGCUGUUUUGACGUUACCAACAGAAUAAGCACCGGCCAACUUCGUG